rnacentral:lncRNA from 1 species
AGUGCUGCAAAAAAUGCUGUAUUUUACAGCUUUAAAAGCUGAAAGAAGACCAGAUGCGGUCAUAUAAAUGUAUUUAAACGAUUUAUGGACGUUUUGGAGCCAAAAAAGGAAAUACACAAAGGAAAUCAGGUCCUGUUCCAGACAGUGUAACAUACCUGUAACAUGCAGCCUGCACUCAGGCUACAAAGAAUGCAGCAUAACCGUCUAAUAUCAGAUACAUAGACAAUAAUUACACCGGCUGACAUGUGAUACCCAUGAACAUUGCUGUAGCUGUGCUUUAGCACAUUUGAAAACCAUGACAAGAUGUCAAUCAUCUGUCACCACCUGAGCUGCUCAGCAGUGCCGUCAGCCAANUACAAAUGUACAGUCUGGCCNAACUUACAUUCAGAUAUGAUGAAUGAUCUUUCUGAGAUCUAACAAACCCAGAGCUGCCAGAAUUACCUUGAGGACAAUGAACUUUCUGAGAAGUGGAGUGCAGUCAUUCUACAAUAGGUUUCUUAGGACUGAAACUCCAUAAAAAUAAGGAUUGAAUCUAGAGUUUUUUGGGGGGUUGGGGGACUGGCUUUUAAGGUUAAGUUAGGUUUUCUGGUUCUUUAAGGUUUCUUUUUGCAAGAUGAUUUCCACUCGGUAGAAGUCCAAUGAAGUUCGAGGAAGUGUCAUAGAAUGACACAUCUGACAAGAUAUAGUUGACAAAAUGACCAAUACACGUGCUGCCAGUCCNCCAACCCAAAGCAGUAGGUACAGGAGAGUGUCCUUUUAGGUUAAGCUAANGGAAAGUUGAUUUUAUAUACAGUGUUCAGAGCACAUUUCUGUCACUAGUAUAUUUUGUUUCAGCUCAAUUCAAACUUGCUUAGGGUUUCAUCUGCCAGAGAUUUUGUGUUUGAUUGAUAGGNCACUCUCCUGUAUCUAUUGCUUUUCAUUGUCAAAAUGGAAAUAAAGAACAUGCCUCCCUGAGGCCCUGCCAGCACCAAAAGAGAAGCCACCCCAGCAGGCCUAAUCUCUUUGGUAGUCUCGCUGCCCUGACUAGAGCCAACCGGUUAUAAGGCCAAGACCAGCAAACCUAAGACUGCCCUGAUACUGGAGACU